ACCAGAUGGACGGCAUGGAGGUAAACAAAGUUCCGACGGGAGCUACUGUGGAUACGUCGUGGUCUGCGUAGGGCUCCAAGUAGCUUGAUCUUCUCAAUACAAUCUGGGAUCGAGCAGUAGUUGUAUCUGACCAGCUGUGUGGUGGAAUAUGUCAGCCUCAGAGGACGUUAGCAUGGUGCUAGCCGCUAGCCCCGAACAGGAUGAGAGGGAAGAUCCACAGCAUGGCGUAAGGGGACCACACUGGGAGACAGCAGUUGGGCAGGAGGAUUGCAGGGCAUUUGGUAGACAAACCGCGGUUGUUCAGCAGUUGUUUACCAGUGUUAAGAACAGAGGGUUGCAGCACCACUGAAGCUGGCAAAAAUCUGUUCAAAAAAUUGUGAAUAUCCAGAGUUUUGCUGUGCGGGUGAAUAUCUUCAAAAAUAUCACAAAAAAAAUCACAAAGACACUCUAAAUUUCAUCAAAAUGUAGACUGGAGAAGCAGAGAACAGACGACAUUACCUAUUGGAUCUAUUAUCCUUUAGUUUAUUGCCUUCUUAAUGGGGUUGGGACCAUCAGUUGUGUUGUGCAGAAGUCAGGUUGGUACUCAGUUGACAGCCCUAUUUGACAUCUGUUAGAAUCCAUAUUAUGACAAGAACCAAUCAGCUAAGUACAGAGAAACAACAGUCCAUCAUUACUUUAAAAACUGAAGGUCAGUCAGUCUGGAAAAUUGCAAAAACUUUGAAUGUAUCCCCAAGUGCAGUCGCAAAAACCAUCAAACGCUGUGAGGAAACCGACUCACAUGAGGACCGCCCAGGAAAGGAAGACCAAGAGUCUCCUCUGAUGCUGAGGACAAGUUCAUCCAAGUCACUAACCUCAGAAAUCACAAGUUAACAGCAGCUCAGAUUAGAGCCCAGAUAAAUGCCACAGAGUUCUAGUAGCAGACACAUCUCUACAUCAACUGUUCAGAGGAGACUGAACCAAUCAGGCCUUUAUGGUCAAACAGCUGCUAAGAAACCACUACUAAGGAAAAGCAACAAGCAGAAGAGAUUUGUUUGGGCCAAAAAACACAAAAAAAUGGACAUUAGACCAGUGGAAAUCUGUGUUUUUGUCUGAUGAGUCCAAAUUUGAGAUCUUUGAUUCCACCCUCCGUGUCUUUGUGCGCCACAGAAAAGGUGAAUGGAUGGUCUCUACAUGCAUGGUUCCCACUGUGAAGCAUGGAGGAGGAGGUGUGAUGGUGUGGAGGUGCUUUGCUGGUGACACUGUUGGGGAUUUAUUCAAAAUUGAAGGCAACUAUAAACCAGCAUGUCUACCACAGCAUCCUGCAGCAACAUGCCAUCCCAUCCAGUUUAGUUGGACCAUCAUUUAUUUUUCAACAGGACAAUGACCCCAAACACACCUCCAGGCUGUGGAAGGACUAUCUGACCAAGAAGGAGAGUGAUGGAGAUGACCUGGCCUCCACAGUCACCUGACCUAAACCCAAUCCAGAUGGUUUGGGAUGAGAUGGACCACAGAGUGAAGGCAAAAGGGCCAACAAGUGCUCAGCAUCUCUGGGAACUCCUUUAAGACUGUUGGAAAACCAUUUCAGGCUGGAGCAGAAGAAACUAAAUAUGGAGUCCAGUUCAGCAGCUCCACAUGAACAGGAAGGAGCCUUUUCCACAAACUGUUAGCACAUCGCUGUAAGUUCUGAUUGCAUGCAGCAACAUUAGAUAUCCCCUAAUUGGAGCUCGGCAGCUCUGGUUCAGGUAGCAUCACUAAUGACUAUGCUCAUUAUUGGCUGUGAUUAAAGAAAACUGUGCUUAAAGUUUCACAAAUCGAAACAGUCAGUUCUGGUGUGACGUAAAAGUUUAGCUGGUGAGUCAAAGUGUUUCUGUUUGAUUCAUUAAUACUCCGAGCAGCCAGCAGAGGGACUCGUUGGUUGAAACAUCAGCAGAUAAGCUACUUUGCUGCUGCAGUCAGUAUUUGUCAUAUCGCUGACUAUUAUUAAGCACGAGUCACGUCCCUGUUAGUUAGUUUCAACUUGUGACCCUCGUUCCUCUUUAUUGUCCCUGUUUUGUUGUGUUUGUUAAAUGUUCUCAUGGUUUCCAGACCUAUUCCUUCUGCUCUGGCAGUUUGGACUCACAUGAUUUUUGAGAUCUGCUGCGUCACUGUGCUUUAGAAGCUCACAUUAAAAUGCUUACAGUGUCGCGCUGUGUACGACUGUAUGAUGAUUCAUUUGUUUUAAAGUUUUUUCCUUGAGUCAGCUUUGUGUGGACAGCCUGUAAAAGAAGUACAAUCUUUGCUCUUUUAUGUUUUCUUUGGUCCUUUUGUUUAGCUUCUUUCUGACCUAAAUAAAGAAGAUCAUCACUUUGAA